GUCUACAGCCACACCAUCCUGAACAGGCAAGGUCUCAUCUGAUCUUGGAAGUCAAGCACGUUUGGGCAUGCUUAGUACUUGGAUGGGAGACCUUUUAGUAAAUCCUAUCGAUAGACU
rnacentral:rRNA from 1 species